rnacentral:rRNA from 1 species
UACGUAGGGUGCGAGCGUUAAUCGGAUUUACUGGGCGUAAAGCGUGCGCAGGCGGCCCGUUAAGACAGGUGUGAAAUCCCUGGGCUCAACCUAGGAAUUGCGCUUGUGACUGGCGGGCUCGAGUACGGUAGAGGGGGGUGGAAUUCCUGGUGUAGCAGUGAAAUGCGUAGAGAUCAGGAGGAACACCGAUGGCGAAGGCAGCCCCCUGGGCCUGUACUGACGCUCAUGCACGACAGCGUGGGGAGCAAACAGG